UUCACAUUGAAACACUGGUUCCCAUAUGAUCACUGGAGUUAAGCAACAUCAAGCUUGGUCAGUACCUAGAUAAAUGACUACUUGGGAAUACCAAGUGCUGUAAG